rnacentral:lncRNA from 1 species
AAACUCCAAUUGGUGGUACACGUUUUCCAUUAUAACUCAACCACUUUUUAUUACUAUAAAUAUUAUACAUGGGUUUCAUAUUUCACCAUACCAAAAAAUUUACACACACGUGAAAGAGAAGAGAGAGAGAGGAUAUUUUUGGGAGUUAGAAGACAAAAAGCUAAUUUGCAACCAUUAUGCACUAAAAAUAGAGAAAAGAUUUUGGGCACGUGCUUUCAUAUUUUCAUUUUAUUAAACGAGGUAAGUACAUUUGUAUAAGUGUUUUCAUUUCCUUAUACUCUUAUAUUCAAUUAAAUAUGUAUGGAUUGCCAGUAGACUUUCGGGUUCUUUAAAAAGAGAGAUGAAAUCCUUCAUGAUUAUAAGACGACCUAAGAUGGGUGUGUCGGUUGGUCACCAAUAUACUCCAUAAAAACCGAGUGGUAUGAAGUGUAGAUUUUGUUUGUUAUAUAAUUGUGUAUGAAAAUUGCACGUAUCUUAUUGGGUGUUUUCGAAUACUCACUCUUACAAAUUUUUACAGGUUAGUUCGGGUCAAUUGGAGUGGUUGCGGGAUGGUGAUGCGGACUCCCUAGUGAAUCGAAGAAAGGAAAAUGAAAUUAAGCAUUUGUUCAAAGACUCGUUUGGUUAUUUUAAAUUGAUAUUUAUGGUUGAAAAUAAAGAAUUUCUUUUUAUUUAAAUUGUUCUGCAAUUAUUGUAAAAGAAAAUUGAGUUUUUUCGUAACACCCGGCGUUUUUGAAAAUUUGGGAACAUUACAAUCACCAAUUCACACCUGCUUUGUCACCGCCAUCAUCAACCUCAGUCAUAGUUGUCGACAAUCACCUUGUAUUUGUGGUAGGUCCCUUGCCACUCCACGAAAGGGGAAUUCUUAAUGUGUUCCAAGACUUUCAGCAGCCAUUAACGUACAAAAUAACGAAUUAAGCUAUGGGUACAGGCCCAUUUACCAGACAUUUGACAGGAAUUCAAAAUUUCAUGACGUGGCCAGUCGCUAAAGUCAAGGUAAGACUAAAAUAAACAACAAUGACCUAAAGAAAGAAUAAUCACCCGCCACAACCAAAAAAUGAAAAACGCUGAGUUCGCGGGAAGUAUAGAUCCAUUUUCCCCAGUGCCCCAAACCAAAAUCUCCACAUCUCCGUCACCGAGUCUCCUUACUCAAAAAAUAGAGGAACCCAACAACGACACUCCCCCAUCUCCGGAUAUAUAGAAACUCGAGACCAAUUCUCCAUCAUCUCCGGCAAAGCCGGAGUCUAUUUGCACCAGCAGAACCUAAGGUGAGCUUCUUAAGAUCUGUAGUCGGGCAUUUUUGCUACUUGGUUGGUACACAAAUUGUAGACAUUUUGUAGAUUUUUCGUCCACUUCCCGAGCAUGUAGAUAUUUGGUCCGUUUGAGCUAUUUGGUUGCUAGACAACUUCUACGUCUUUAGCUAUUUUUUGUCAAGCAUUCUAGCUAUUUGGUCCAUUUUCCCCAACAAAACCUAGGAUUCUUUAAUUUGUUUGGAAAGACUUGUAUAAUUUUCUGGUUGUUUGAUUGACACCCCAAGUACCAAGUCUUUGGAUAGAGUUGUAUUAUUAUGUGGUUUUGUGAGUUGAAUUGCAGUAGAAAUAAAUUUGAGAUAUAGAAUACUUUAGUAGAGAAACUGUGAUAUUUUGUCAUAGAAGUUAGGUAGUGUAAAUUUCGGAAUGUGUUUUACUUGAGAACGUAAAUUUUAUCUUAUGCUCUUUUAACAGUUUGUGGCUGUACCAGUACAAAUUCACAUAGUGUAUUAAUGAAUUUUGUGGCAGGAAAGGAGUUUAUGGAAGACGGGAAUCAUGACUCGGGAAACGGUCAAGAAUUUGAAGAAGUUUGGACAUCAACCAGGGUAGUGGUGCUGAAUUUCUUGUUGUUGGCAUGACAUUUUUAGUUAUUUUUAUUUCAAAGGUACUGUUUUUGUUGCUACUAGUCUGGAAUUUAGAUUGGGUGAAUAGAAAUUCAAUGUUGUAGUUUUCCUGAUAUUGGCAUGAAAUUUUGACUUGUUAAGCCAGUUUUUGAAAAAGAAAAUACUGCUAUUUUGUGCUUGUAUCGCAUCAAAUUCGCACAAGUUAAAAGAUAUGUUUACUUUACUGGAAAAAUGUAGUGCUAUUUUGUGUAAAUAUGGACUCCCAAUCAAUCAAAAUUUUCUCAUUUUCAUUUGCACUGCUGAAUUUUAAGAUGGCAUUACAUGCUUUGUGGUAUUAAUUUGGAGUUGUUCAAUGCAGAUUGGAUGCACUCCGUUGCUACUAUAUAUUGGAAGAAUGUAGCUACUCACAACAUGUUCCUCUGUCAUUCGUGGUUCGACGAUGUUUAUUAAUUAUAGAAAUUAGAAGUAUUUCUGUGCUAUUUUAACUUAGUAUGACAUUGAUAUCAUUUCUUUGUCAAAGUAUAAUAGAUAUUUGUUGCUGGAUUUACGUAGAUGUUGGUUGAUGAUUUGUAGCUUUGGUAGGAUGAUGUUUGUCGCUGGAAUUAUGUACAUUUUGAUUAAUGUCAACCUCUUUGGCAGGAUCAUUGUUGGCAGAUUUAUGUACAUUUUGAUUAAUGUUAACCUCUUUGGUAGGAUGAUAUUUGUUGGCGGAUUUAUGUACAUUUUCUUUGACCCAGCAAUAGACAAGGGCGAUCGAGG